UUUCACAUCCAUGGCAUGUGGAAUUUUCAGGGCUCAAACCCAUGUCACAGCAGUGACCCAAACUGCUGCAGUGACAACACAGGAUCCUUAAUCCACUGAACCACAAGGGAACUCUCAGGCUUAAAUCUUAAAUUCAGGGGUCACCAAAACCACCAACUCUACCUCUGGAAGAAAAAACCCCUGCCUUCCCCUUUCGUUGCCUUUGUGUGAGCGUGUGGGGCCACCUCGGUUUCCCAGCCGCCGUCCCUCCUGCAGCUUGGGGUGCAGCUUAAUUAAGAGCCCAGCCGCUCGAUUAGUCUUGAUCACCUCUCUAAUUGGGCACCAGCUGUGUUUUCUCACAACAAGGCCUCCUUUAUGGGACUUCUAAAAUGCCUUACAUGAAAAACCCUAACAGUUUCAGGAUUAUAGGAUCAUAAAACCAGGAAUGCCUGUUUUCUACAGAAGUGGAGAGUGCAUCUCUCUCUAUGUUCCAGAAAAUAUUUUUUGGGAAAGUUGGGAGGGAGAGUAUUGAACGUCAACUUCUCCAUUUGUUUAUGUUCUGGAUACGAAGGCCGAUUGCGGUUUUAAAGGAGUUUUGCAUAAUCACAGGUGUUGGUGCAUAAAGGACUCGGGAAGUUUCCUGGCAGAAAUGUGAGACUUGAGAAAUUGAACCAUGAAUGGCUCCAUUUAUGAACAGACACCCAUGAUUGACAGAAUGACUAUUAAUAGCGAACAUUAGCUGAGCCAUUCAUAUAGGCUCAACAUUAUGGCAAGAACUUGGAAUGGAUUGUCUCGUUUAACCUGGCAACGGCCUUCUGAGAUGGAUCUAAAUGUUCUCCCCAUUUUCAUAAUCAGGAAAGCAAGACCCAGAGAGGUGAAAUAAUUCAUGUUCAAGGUCACAUGGCUCACCAUUUAGGGACUGAAAGGGGACUGAAACUCAUGUGUGUUUCAUCCCAAAAUUCCCAUCUGUCUCUCUCCAACUAAACAAUGCAAUUAACUUGGCAGAACUCAAGUGCUCUGUUUGCAGCAAUUACAGUAUCAACCCUACUGUAUAUAAAAUAGGUAACAAGGACCUACUGUAGAGCACAGGGAAAUCUACUCACUACUGUGUAAUACCCUGUAUGGGAAAAGAACCUGAAAAGGAACGGAUUAUAUGUGCAACUGAUGUACUUUGCUGCACACCUGAAAUGAACACAAUGCUGUAAGUCAACUAUGCUCCAACAUUUCAAAAAAAAACCAAUAUCAACAGCAAUGACUCCUAAUUUUUGUGCAGAGUUUCAUAGCAACGAAAUUCACUUAUGUUUGCUCUCUCCUAUGAUACGAUAGCACUGUGAGAGAAACAAAGCAAUCUCUGUAACCCCAUUAUCACAAAUUGGGAACCUAGGUAAUAAUAAGGGGCUCGGUUAUAGACCCAGAGAUGCACCACCAGCAAAGAACAGAGUCAGACUGUUCUAAUUCCUACUCCAAACCCAGGGCCCCUUCCAUUAUUUCUCACCCCUCUCCCAAGGUGAUACUUUGCCCGGAGGAAGCCAGAUAUAUUUACGUAUGUUUUUUCCAUUCAUUCAUUUAUUCAUUCAUUCACUCCUUCAUUUGUUCAUAAAGUCAUAUUACAUUUUUGUUUUCCGUAUCCUGAUUAUUUCUAUUUACUUAGUUGCUGUCUCUCUCCCCUCCUUGGAAGAUAACCUGCAUGACCCUUGCCCUUAUUAUGGACAAUUACAUUUCCUCCCAAACAGUGCCUAGAAGUUAAAUUAUUUUUCAGUGAAUUCAAACAAAUAGUAAUUCAUUCACUCAGACAGUACUUAUUGAGCAUCUACUAUGUGCCAGGUAUAGGUAGGUCCUAGGCAUACUGCACAGAAUAAGACAGGCAUAAUUUCUCACAUCCAUGGAGUCUAUAUUCUAAUUUGGGUGGGUGCAUGGGAACUAAUACACAAGUAAAUAAACAAGAUAAUUUGUGCAGUGUGGAGACGUCACAGAGUGAUGUGAUGGAAAGUCACAAGUCACUGGAUUCUUGUCCCAGAGCUGUUCCCAUUCUGGUUGGACAGACCACACAACCAACAGGCAGCUUCCAUUUCCCAGGAACAGUGGGGGGGUUGCAAGCUCAGAGGCAGUGCCCUUUGCUCAGAAGACUUGGACUGGGUGGAGGCAGGGAAGACUUCCUGAGAAGGCAGCACCCAGUGGUUUUAAGACAAAUAGAAGUCAUCUAGGAAAGGGGAGGGUAAGAUUCCAAGCCUGAGCAGGGACAGGUGGCAGGAGGCCAACUGGCACAGGACAAGGGGUGACUGAGCCUAGAGUGUGAGGUGGGGACCAGGGGAAGAAAAGAGGUGAGGGCGAUGAGGAUGGACCAGAUCCAAGAGUAUCACGCUGUGAUGCUCAGUUUUAUGUGUUGACUUCGGGAGGCUACAGCUCCCAGUUAUUCAGUCAACACUAAUCUGGGUGUUGCUGUGAAGGUAUUUCGUAGACACAGGUAAUAUCUACAAUCAGUUGACUUGGAGAUUAUCCUCAGUAAUCUGGAUGGGACUCAUCUAAUCCAUUGACAGCCCUUAAGAAUAAAACUGAGGUUUCCCUGAGAAGGGAGAAAUUCUGCUUGCGGACUGCAGCGUCAGCUCCAGCCUGGCCUUCCCAGCCUUCAGCUUGACCUACACCUCUGGGGCUGGCUUAGCCAGACUCCUUGACUGCAGAAGCCAAUUCCUUGAACUCUAUCUCUAGAGAUAGUUAGAGAUAAAUAGGUAGAUAGGUAAAUAGACUGCUAAUCCCCUCCCGGUUUUCUUUCUCUAGUAGACACCUGGCUGAUGGACAGCCAACUAGCCAGCUAAGUGGACUUUAUCCUUAAGGUGGAGGCUUUGAGCAAAGGAGCAUAACCAGAUUUGUGUUUCUAAAACAUACUGGCUGCAGUGUCAAGUGAGUUAGAAGGGCAAGACUGGAGGGUGAUCAUGUCAGAACCCAAACUAAGUCACUGGCAGUGAGAAUGGCCUGGAAGAACAAGACCCAUUCAAGUGAUAUUAGGAAAGCAGAAUUGACAAGUCCUACUGUGCAGUUUCAUAUAGAUGGUGAAGGCAGUACCAGUAAGUGCCAGGUCCCUGGACAUCUUGGUAGAUGGAACAUACAUGCCACAAGAGCGGAAACUCUGACCUGUUCCCUGCUGUCCCCUUGGCACCUGGAGCAGUGCCUGUCACCCUGAAGCUGCUCCUUGUGCAUUUAAUGACCGGAUGGUGGUGCAGUUCCCUGAGACUCAGUGCGGUGUGUAUGGCUGGGUGGUGAGAAUGAGGGAUCUACAAGUGCAGCAUGGGGCGGGCAGAGUUCGAGGUAGCUGUCACACAGCCAGAAGAGAGGCUCAGAUGGAAGCUGGAGAGAUGGUCUGAGAAUGUGGAGACCUCUAGGAUGCAGGCUGAGCAUUGUGUCCUAAAUACGGAGAUGGACUUGAAACCAGGGCUCAGGGUACCCUUUG
rnacentral:lncRNA from 1 species